UCCGGAGUUCAAAUAAGUUUAAAAAACAUUGAAGUGUGGCCAUGUAACAGAGUUCACAUUUGACCGUUUUUCUACUAGUCAAUAGAGUUUGCCAAACUUGAGUUUCCCAAGUCACUUACACAAAAAGCUAUGAUUCAUGGUUGUCAAAUCCAUAAUUUCCAAACCACAACAACCUUGAGGCAUAACAAGCUUUAAAUGCUGCAUACUGAACACAAAAGAAGUCCGGAGUUUAAAUAAGUUAUUAAAAAUAAAAAAGAGGUGCAAUGCUGGUUAAUUUGCUUCAAGCCAUUCGGAAUAGUGUAGACUGCACUGCACAUAGCUCAGUGCAAUCUAUGCUAUUCCGCAAGGCUUGAAGCUAAUCAACAUGUAGAAGAUCAUCUUGAGCUUGUGUCCCCUUGAAGGAAGUAGGAUACUUCUCUUGUUGAGGAACAAACUUUGUCUUUGGGGUAUUGAUCUUCUUCCCACUCAACUCCAUUGGCAUUGAACUUUCGUUCAAAACCAACACCUUGAUUCUUCCCUUCAAUAAGCUAUUUUCUUGCUCAAGUGUAACUUGGCUAAGAGAAUCGUUAGUGGAAUCAAGAGAACUACUAGAAGCAACAAUGUUAGAUCUUAUGUCACAAAAAAGAAGUUGUAUCAAACCUUUUAUGUCGGAUCUAGAACAAACCAAUCGGUAUCGCCAUCAUACAGCCCUACCGUGGCUCGUGAUGCAUAUAUAUGCAUAUCGAAUGUACGGUUGGGCGUAUGAUGGCGAAUCCGAAUGAUUUGUAUUCAGUCGAUGAACUGGUAGAUGUAUGCAGUCGAUGAACUGGUAGAUGUAUGUAGUCGAUGAACUGAAAGACUUAUGCAGGGACGAAGGCGAGAGAUGGGCUAUAUAUAGGGUCGUCUGGCUCACAAAGUGAUUGUGAUAGUUUCGAUCCAACGACUCACAUGAGCUAGGAAGAAACACACCCUUGAUCCAACGACUCGCAAGAGCUAGAAAGAAACACACGAUCCGUGUGAUUCUUCCUGAUUGGUGGGAUGCACAUUAGUAUCGGUUCGUGCCACGAACCGGUGGUAAAGAUUGGCAACGAACCGGUACUAAUGGUAGCAGCCCGCCUAGCCGUUGGAAUCGGCACUAAUGGUCACAUUCGUGCCGGCUCAAAUUCAAACCGGCACUAUAAUGUGCUUCACAUUUGACCGUUUUUCUACUAGUCAAUAGAGUUUGCCAAACUUGAGUUUCCCAAGUCACUUACACAAAAAGCUAUGAUUCAUGGUUGUCAAAUCCAUAAUUUCCAAACCACAACAACCUUGAGGCAUAACAAGCUUUAAAUGCUGCAUACUGAACACAAAAGAAGUCCGGAGUUUAAAUAAGUUAUUAAAAAUAAAAAAGAG
rnacentral:lncRNA from 1 species